GGUGGAUGGGACUGGGCUCUGUCGAGCAGGGGGCGCCGCUCGUCGGGGAGGCUUGGCCGCACAGGAGCCCACGGAGGCGGGGGGGAGGCUCAGGCAUGGCGGGCUGCAGGUCCCGAGCCCUGCCCCGCGGGAAGGCAGCUAAGGCCCGGCGAGAAAUUGAGCACAGCAGCUGCUGGCCCAGGUGCUAAGCCCCUCACCGCCCGGGGCCGGCGGGGCCUGCCGGCAGCUCCGAGUGCGGGGCCCGCCGAGCCCACGCCCACCCGGAACUCGCGCUGGCCCGCAAGCACCGCGCGCAGCCCCGGUUCCCGCCCGCGCCUCUCCCUCCACACCUCCCCGCAAGCUGAGGGAGCCGGCUCCGGCCUUGGCCAGCCCAGAAAGGGGCUACCACAGUGCAGUGGCGGGCUGAAGGGCUCCUGAAGUGCUGCCAAAGUGGGAGCCCAGGCAAAGGAGGCGCCAAGAGCGAGCGAGGGCUGUGAGGACCGCUAGCACGCUGUCACCUCUCAAUAUGGUCCAACCAAGGUCAACUAGUUGAUCGCAGCCCGAUUUCACAGCACAAAAUUCUACCGGAAGCAGGGGUUUUCAGAAAUACGUCUGUCAAAUUAUAAUAUGUUCGAAAGUACUACUGAAAAACUAAGACCUUCACUCCAUUAGAAGGACCUGGAGUAGAGGUUGGCAUGUCUCAUGGUUGGCAAAAUGUGACCAGAGGCCCACAGUAUCCUAACCAUCGUAUCUCCCCUGGGAGCAAUGGCUCAGUAUUCACAAACUCAGUCUGUAGCAACCUUAUGGAACACAAUUAUGUUGAAAAACAAGAACUGUCUGUCUUACAAAUAAGAUUUCUUGAUGGAUUAGAAGUGGGUAAUGAGAGAAGUCAGGGCUGACUCCAAGGUUUCUUGCCUGAGAAAACGGAAGGCUAGAACUGCCAUCAAUUAAGGUGAAGAAGGCUAGAGGGAGCAAGUGUGGAGGAAAGAAGUUUAGUUCUAGACAUAUUAAGUUUGAGAUAUUCAAGUAAACUUGUCAAAAAGGCAACUUAUAUAUAAAUCAAGAGUCUACAGGAAGGUCUCAGGUGGAGAUACAAAUUUGGAACUGUCAGCACAGAGACAGUAUUUAAAGCCAUGGGAUAGUCUGAGAGUGAAUUGAUAAGGAGAAGGUGACCGUCAGAAGACUGGAGAGAAGAGGCGGAAUCAGCAAAGGAAGUACAGAAGGAGUGAGCAAUAAAUGAAGGAGGGAAAAACUAAAGUGUGGAAUCCUAGAAAUCAAGUGAAAAAAGCAUUAAAGAGAAGUGCAUGAUCAACUGUCUCAAAAGCCUCUGUGUUACACAUUUUUCUUGAUGUCAUGAAGACUAGUGGCCUGAGAAACUUCCUUGGGUAUGAGCUCUACCUUUAUCAUUUACUAGCUUCUUUACCUUGUGGAAGUCACUGAGCUUGUUUCUUUGUAGAAAAAUGCCUGCUAUCCAGCCUGGCCAACAUGGGGAAACCCCGUCUCUACCAAAAAUUAGCUGGGCGUGGUGGCACACGGCUGUAGUCCCAGCUACUCAGAAGACUGAGACAUAAGAAUAACUUGAACCCAGGAGGCAGAGGUUGUAGUGAGCUGAGAUCAUGCCACUGCACUCCAGUCUGAGUGACAGAGUGAGACUCUGUCUCAAAAAAAAAAAAAAGAAGAAGAAGAAUAAAAACACCUGGCACCUCAUAGGGUUUGCUCUAAGGAUUAAAUAAGGUAAUUGCUUUCAUAGUCUAACAUAGUACAGCCAUUAAAACAGCAAAAGCUCCAAAAAUAUUAAUUCCUUUUUUUCCUUCAUUCAAAAUAUGUACUUGCAAAGGAAAGAACAUAUAUGGUGGACUCCAAUUUUGAAUUCUUUGGACAGUUACAAAUACAAAGAACAACUCAGUUG